rnacentral:rRNA from 1 species
GCACAAGCGGUGGAGUAUGUGGUUUAAUUCGAUGCAACGCGAAGACCUUACCUGGUCUUGACAUCCCGGAGACCCUUAGGAAACUAGGGGGUGCUUCCAUCUGGAAGAAUCUGGAGACAGGUGCUGCAUGGCUGUCGUCAGCUCGUGUCGUGAGAUGUUGGGUUAAGUCCCGCAACGAGCGCAACCCUUGCCUUUAGUUGCCAGCAGUUCGGCUGGGCACUCUAAAGGGACUGCCGGUGUUAAACCGGAGGAAGGUGGGGAUGACGUCAAGUCCUCAUGGCCUUUAUGACCAGGGCUACACACGUACUACAAUGGCCGAUACAAAGGGCAGCGACACUGCGAGGUGAAGCCAAUCCCGUAAAAUCGGUCUCAGUCCGGAUUGGAGUCUGCAACUCGACUCCAUGAAGUUGGAAUCGCUAGUAAUCGUGGAUCAGCAUGCCACGGUGAAUACGUUCCCGGGCCUU